AUACGGAGGAUCCGAGCGUUAUCCGGAUUUAUUGGGUUUAAAGGGUGCGCAGGCGGCCAUUUAAGUCAGCGGUUAAAUCGUGGGGCUCAACCCCAUUCUGCCGUUGAUACUGGGUGGCUUGAUUGCGGUCGAGGUUGGCGGAAUUCGUUGUGUAGCGGUGAAAUGCAUAGAUAUGACGAAGAACACCGAUUGCGUAGGCAGCUGACCAGACCGCAAAUGACGCUCAUGCACGAAAGUGCGGGGAUCGAACAGGAUUAGAUACCCUGGCAGUCCGCACAGUAAACGAUGAAUACUUGUUUUCGGCGAUAUAAUGUCGGAGGCAAAGCGAAAGCGAUAAGUAUUCCACCUGGGGAGUACGCCGGCAACGGUGAAACUCAAAGGAAUUGACGGGG
rnacentral:rRNA from 1 species